rfam:Lysobacter sp. Root96 contig_1, whole genome shotgun sequence.
GGCCGGGUAGCUCAGUUGGUAGAGCAGGGGAUUGAAAAUCCCCGUGUCGGGGGUUCGAUUCCCUCCCCGGCCA